rnacentral:rRNA from 1 species
UGGGGAAUAUUGGACAAUGGGGGCAACCCUGAUCCAGCAAUGCCGCGUGAGUGAAGAAGGCCUUAGGGUUGUAAAGCUCUUUUGUGGGGGAGGAAGGAUGGUACGUGAAUAGCGUAUUAUUUUGACGUUACCCCAAGAAUAAGCACCGGCUAACUCUGUGCCAGCAGCCGCGGUAAUACAGAGGGUGCGAGCGUUAAUCGGAAUGACUGGGCGUAAAGGGUGCGUAGGUGGUUAUUUAAGUUAGUUGUGAAAGCCCUGGGCUCAACCUGGGAAUUGCAACUAAAACUGAGUAGCUAGAGUAGGUGAGAGGAGUGUGGAAUUUCCGGUGUAGCGGUGAAAUGCGUAGAGAUCGGAAAGAACACCAGUGGCGAAGGCGGCACUCUGGCACCAUACUGACACUGAGGCACGAAGGCGUGGGGAGCAAACAGG